AGAAGAAGAACGCUGAGGGAAAGCUAAAAAGCUACGCAGCUUUUGAAAGAGACCCCCACCCCUUCGGAUCGUCUUCUCCAAACGACCCUAGCUCUCUUCUACUAGAACAAAAACGAUCCCUCUCGUUCUACUUCCUUUUCAGGUUCUAAACACAUAAAACCCAUCAGCCAUCGAUCCCAAACACCCAUCAAAACCAAACCUAACGCCUAAGAUGAUUUUCUGCACCGAUUGAAGUUCCGUCCGUUCGAGGUUGCGAAUCCAGUCCGAGUUCGAAAUUUCAUUGUUUGGAACUUCAUUAUGACUGUGUAAUUGCCGAAUUUCAGUUGAAUGAAGCUUUAAUUUUAGAUGCUCUGAAUUGCCGAUUCAUUUGCUCGGCCAGUCGAUUGUUAACCUUGCAAGAUCGAACUCCAAGCAUCUCAGAUUCGACGUGAGUUGAGGCUGAGGCGAGAGGCAAAGGCAUCGUAGGCUAUAGUUUGGACCGGAUAAAGAUUCAGGAGUCUUGGGUCACGCUAGCGAUUGUUGAUUUGUUCUCCAGCAAGCUAUUUGAAGUUGACUAGGUAACUGCCAGGUAUUCGCAACCCAGUACUUCUCCUUCCUAUCUUUUUUUUCCUGUUGAUCUGGCUUGUAAUAGACUAUGUAGUCUUUUCAUACACUUAGAUAAAUUUUAGAUGCUCAUGACUGGUGACUCCCGGAUGUCGGGCUGUGUUUGUUUCCGUAUUGUUCUAAUCUAUUUU